UUUUCCAAAAGUUUUCCAACUAGAGAAAGCUGGAUCCUCAGGCUCAGAACUCCCCUGACUCCACCUCCCUUCCCGCCCACUUUCGUUCCAGCUCCAUCUUUCUCCUCCUGCUCCUGCCCACCAUCUUCCCAGCAGGCCCUGCUACAAGCCUCUCCAAACACCGAAACGGGAGCCGUAAGGAAGCAAUUAACCCUUCUCCUGCCUCUGGCCGCCAGCACCCCCGCCCUUCAGACUUUUCUAAGCCCUCUGAACCUCCAGCCUCUCACCUGGGAGGGCUGGUCCGUCUCUGGCCUCCCCUCCCCCUACCGUGGCUCUUCAGCCUCCCCCUCCCCCGCCCCAUUUCCGUUGCAGGCUCCGCACCGGCCUCCGGCGCUUAAUCCGGUUGGGGAGGGGCUGCUGCGACCCCGGGACGUGCUUUGGUGUCACUCACACUUCCACCCCCACCCAAAGAGACCCGAAGCAAUAGCACCUUUACAAAAACUGACCGGCAGGGAUGCAGGGGAUUUUCCUCUCUUCCCUCACCUCGAUUUGUGUCGCGCCCAAGAAACCAAAUAUCCUGCAGACAGAUGGGAGUGUUUGGGAGCUGCUACAGGAAACAGGCCCUGGACUAUAAGGACUUCUGCACACGUCGACUCCUGGUCACGUGAGUGCCGCGUCACCACUGAGCUCGCCUCCCCAGUCACCCCUCCCAUUAACACUGAAGCCCGCCCACUGCGUUCCCUCCACUUGAUACUGUCAAUCUUUUUUCGUAUUUGCCAAUCAGUGACAAUAAACUGUUACCUUCCCCCUGGACUCUUUAUUCGCCUUUCUCAGAUUACCAGGAGGAUCAGCCUUCUAGGGUAAAACGACCAUUUCUCUUUCUUUGGCGAAUCGUCUCUUUCUUCUGCUCUCAAUACUCCCACCUCCAAGACCCCUACAG
rnacentral:lncRNA from 1 species